GAUAAAGAUCCCUGUUAUAAGUUCCCACUUCCCAUAUAAUAAAAUCCUAUCUGACCUGUCAGCUGAGUGAUGUUCAUUCCCUCCUUGCAUGUGAGUGUGGAGGAAUCAGGGUUAUUCUCUGGAUGCCUCUUGUGCCAGGCUUGGGAUGUCCAGUGUUUAAAUCCUGUAUGCACCUCGUAGAGUCCUACUCCAGUCCUGUUAUGAGUGAAUUAAAUUCUCUGUUAGUCCUGGGGUACGGCCUUAAAGGGGAGUCCUCAGUAUCGGAGUUGGGGGUGCAGCCUUGGUAGGUCCCUGGAUCUCAGAGUUGGGGGUGCAGCCUUGGUAGGUCCCUGGGUCUCAGAUUUCGGGGUGCAGCCUCGGUAGGUCCCUGGGUCUCAGAUUUCGGGGUGCAGCCUCUGUCCAAAAUUUCGGAGUGCAGCCUUGGUUGGUUCCUAGGUCUCAGAUUUCGGGGUGCAGCCUUGGUAGGUUCCUGGGUCUCAGGGUUGGGGGUGCAGCCUUGGUAGGUUCCUGGGUCUCAGAGUUGGGGGUGCAGCCUUGGCAGGUUCCUGGGUCUCAGAUUUCGGGGUGCAGCCUUGGCAGGUUCCCGGGUCUCAGAUUUCGGGGUGCAGCCUUGGCAGGUUCCCGGGUCUCAGAUUUCGGGGUGCAGCCUUGGCAGGUUCCUGGGUCUCAGAGUUGGGGGUGCAGCCUUGGUAGGUCCCUGGGUCUCAGAGUUGCAGUGCCAGUCCUGGGGGUGCAGACUCUGGGUGGCUGGCAGUAUUGGGUUAAAGCUUUGCAGGGUUAGUUCUGGGGUGCAGGCUCGGGCUGGCUGGCAGUAGUGGGAUGUAGCUGUGCAGUGCCAGUCCUGGGUUAGUCAGUGUUGUGUCUCCUGGUGUGUAGAGCAGGUUGGCACACCAUUCCCUAUGACUGCCUUCAGUUUGAAAAGUAAAACCCGCCCAGAGCCUCCCCCCUCCCUGCUCUGCUAACUCCCAGUCCUCUCCCAAAUCCACCCUCCAGUAGCUCUUUCCUCACCCCUACAGCUCCCUCUCUCA